UCGACCAAAACUUCUUAUAGGAAAAUACCUUGGCUAUAACUAUACUGCUGUAGGGUUUUCCCCUUAUGGUGAUCAUUGGCGUAACCUUCGUCGUAUAAUAUCACUUGAGGUUCUCUCAUCACAUCGUCUCAACUCCUCUUUGGAAAUUCGAAGAGAUGAAAUUAUGAGACUAAUACAAAAGUUAGCCCAAGACUCAAGCAAGGACUUUGCUAAAGUGGAACUAAAAUCCAAAUUAUUAGAAUUAACAUUCAAUACUAUGAUGAGAAUAUUGACAGGGAAGAGGUACUUUGGUGAAGACCUUGAUGCAAGUGACAUAGAGGAAGCAAAGGAAUUUAGAGAGAUCAUAAAAGAGUUGGUGGUGUUUAGUGAUUUUAUACCUGCAGUCGGGUUUGGGUGGCUUGGUUUUGAUCCAGAAAAAAACAUAAAGAGCAUAGGUUUGAGAUUUGAUGCCUUUAUACAAAGACGCAUUGAUGAGCAUCGUAAUGGGAAGAAAAUUAUCAAUAGCAUGAUACAUCAUCUUCUCACUCUACAACAAUCAGAACCUCAAUAUUAUACCGAUCAAAUCAUCAAAGGACUCAUUUUGGUAAUAAUUGUUUUAUAUAUAUUUCCCUCUAUUUAUUUAUAUUAGAUAAAAUAUUAUUAUUAUUAUUGAUUUUUCUUUCCUCCACCUUAAAAAUUAAUAUUAAAUAAAAACAUUUAAAAUAUUAUUAUGACUAAUAUAAUAUUUAAUAUACAUUAAAAAUUUAAUAAUAAAUAAAAUUAUUAAAUACAAAUAUUAAUACAUUACUAAAUACAAAUUAUGUACAUUACUAUAUUUUUUGUUUCCAUAGGACUAGUAUCGAAUAAGCUAACAUUUAAUAUGCAUUCAGAGUAUUGAAAAUAUUUAAUAAGUAGGAAAUGUCUCAACAAACUUGAACUAUACAUUAAAUUGAAGAGGUCCUAUACAAAUUUGAAGUGAUUUAACUAAUUAAAUUGUUAGGUCAAAUCGAAUAAUGAUAUAUAUUAUACAAUUAAAAUAUGCAUAUGAAUUUCGAGUUAAUGAGGAUAAGAUGAAAUAUAGUUUCAUGGUUGAUUUUAUACUUGUUCUUUUUUUGGCUUGUUUAAUUUGAGCAAAACAGUUGAUCCAACCAAUCUAUUUAAAGCCACCUAAAAUAGUUUGUAUGUGUUUGCAAUAGUUUAAAGCAGACUCACUAACUGAAUGAUUUCCUGACUUGUACGAACUUAUUCCCCUAUCUAAUAUACAAUUGGACUAAUUAGAUUAUCUGUUAUAAUUCAAACAACAUUGAUCCGAACAUAUUCCUUGUUUCUUUUUGAAGUGGUCAAUGGGAAUAUCAUCACCACUUGCAAACUUAAAGGAUGAUAUUCUUUAGGUAUAAGUAGAUUAGUAUGAUGUACCAACACUAUUAGAGAAAAAUAAUAUUCGUAAUUCAAUUGUAAUGAGUGUUAGUAAUAUUGAUAUUGACAUAAUUUUCAUUGACAAACAAAAAUAUCUACCUCACUUAUUCCUAAAUAUCUUUGGUAAUUAUUAUUUUAUACAUUUUCCCUCUAUUUAUUUAUAUUAGAUAAAAUAUUAUUUAUCAUUGAUUUCGCUUUCACCCACAUUAAAAAAUUAAUAUUAAAUAAAAAUGUUUAAAAUAUUAUUAAGACUAAUAUAAUAUUUAAUAUAUAUAUACAUAAAUUUUAAUAUUAAAUAAAAGUAUUUAAUACAAAUAUUAAUACAUUACUAAAUACAAAUUCUAUACAUUAUUAUAUUUUUAGUUUUCAUGAGACUAAUAUUGAAAAACUCAACAUUUAGUAUGCUGAGUUUUGAAAAUAUUGAAACAGGUCCCGUAUAGGUUUUAAGUGAUUUAACUGGUUAAAUUGUUUGAUUAGAUUGAACAACGCCACAUAUAUUAUAUAAGUAAAAUAUACAUAUAAAUUUCAGGUUAAUAAUGAAUGAGUGUAAGACAAGAUAUAGUUUCAUUGUUGAUUUUAACACAUUUGUCACUCUUUUGACUUGUUUAAUUUGAGCAAAAGAGUCGGUCCAACCUAUCUAUUUAAAGCAACCUAAAGUAGUUUGUAUUGGUGCGCAAUAGUUAAAAACGAGUUCAGGCGAUUUCCUGACUUGUAUGAAUUCGUUCCCCUAUCCUUUUAAAAUAUAAUUCACUACUAAGGUUAACAAAAAACCCUAUAUAUAAACUUUUCUACAGACAAAAAUAUUUGACCAAUAGCUGUGUUAAAACUCACCAACAUUAAAACAUAUUAUUGGUUAGUGAAAAUAUAUUUUUAAAUUUAAUUUAGUGACAUCAAAAUUAGACUAAAACCUGAAAGAUGUGGUCUAGUUAUGUAUUGUACUAUGCUAUUCAAUUUUUAAGAGUGACAUUUGUUGGAAGAUACAAUAAUGCAUCUCAAAAUGAAUUAUUUUCUUAUACGCAGUGUUAAGAUGCUCUUAGAAAUACAAAAAAAACUAAAGAAAAUUUAGACACAAAAAAUUUCAUUUUAAUUAAUCAUAUUAUUAAUAUUAGUUUGGUUGGAAUUGCUAGGAUCUAUUAAUCGGAGGAACAGACACAUCAGGCACAACUUUGGAAUGGACAAUGUCUAAUUUAUUAAAUCAUCCAGAAAUAAUAAAGAAGGCGAGAAAAGAAUUAGAUAUUCAUAUAGGACAAGAUCGUCUAGUGGAUGAGUCAGACAUUGCAAAACUCCCUUACCUUCAAAAUAUUGUUCGUGAGACACUUCGGUUACACCCUGUUCUUCCAUUAUUGGUACCUCGUUCCUUAUCAAAAGAUUGCAUCAUUGGGGGAUAUAAACUUCCACAAAACACUACUUUGGUAGUUAAUGCUUGGGCCAUUCACACAGAUCCAAACUUGUGGACAGACCCUUUACUUUUUAAGCCCGAGAGAUUUGAGAAAGAAGGUGAAGCAAAUAAGUUACUUGCAUUUGGGUCAGGGAGAAGGUCUUGUCCUGGAGCAAACAUGGCUCAGCGCACAAUGAGCUUAACUUUGGCCUUAUUGAUUCAAUGCUUUGAAUGGAAGCGAACAAAAGAAGAACUAAUUGAUAUGACCGAAGGAAAUGGAAUGAUCGUCGUGCAAAAGAAAUUUCAAUUAGAAGCCAUGUGUAGAGUGCGUCAAUUAUCAACAAUCAAGGAUAUACUCUAGCAUCUUAGAGGCUUGGAAAGUUUCUGAAACCACACACAUUGCUUUAUCAUCUUGUCUUAGAGAUACAUUUGAUUUUAUAUGGUGGAAUAAAAUAAAUAACAUGUGUGUGCCUUGAAUAAGUAUGACCAUUAAUAUAUAAUUUGGUUUGUGUUAUAAAAUUCAGAAUCAAUUUUCCUGCUUUGUGUAAUGCGUAAAAAGCUUGAUCACACUGGCCUUCCUCGUCACUCAAGGAAAAGCCUAAGCCAUUAAUGUUUUAUCCAUGCAUUUAUUAUUUAAGUGUAAAAUCUAUACACUGUCACUAUACAUAUGCAUUCUAUCAUAUAUCAUUUAUUUGUAUAAAUUUUUUUGAAAAGUCAACAAUAAUUAACUAUCAUUGGUGGAUAGUACAGUGACAGUGAAUAAAACUCAUAUAUUGCGUACAUCUUUUUGUCUUAUUAUUUUCCUUCUUUUUGGGCUGUUCCAUUGUUUAAAGCCCAAAUUUCAUGUAUUUCUUUAUUGGGCUUGUGGAUUCCCAAGCCCAGCACUGUUUCUCACAUGGCCGAACAGUUGAUUAAUUAGUUUUGCUUUAUGUAGGUCUAGUUAGGUUUGUUUGUUGCUUCACUUUCCUUUUUGGUUAUUGUACUUAGAAGAUUCAAUUUCUCCUUCUUCUUCCUCUCGUUUCUGUACGUGUUGCUGGAAGAGUUUUCAUUAACAAAAAGACUGUUCAUUUUGUUAUUUUCUUCCAUGCGCUACGAAACCAAGAUGAUGUAAAAUUGGUAUUUAUAGAAGUGGCAAAUAUAAAAAUUAAUAUAGAAUCAAGGCAGAAGAAUAACACAGAAUCUAAGUUGAAAAACUUCCUCAAAAUUUGAGAAGUAAAUAACACGAGACUUUGUUUCUCACUUACUCUCUAAGAGGAUAAUGCUCAAUUUUGUAUCAUAUUACCUUAUGGGUAAAAAAUUGAUGUUUUUUUGGGUGCGUGACUAUUUCUCCCAACAAAUGUUACUCACAUGAAUCAGUUUAUUGACUUUUUUUUUAUUAUCCUAAAGAUCUAACCGAAUUUUAUACCACUAAAUCAACGUCUCUCAAUUGAAAGUGUGUUGAGAUACAAAGCUUUUCUACUCUUACUGGGAAUAUUAUUUUCACACUAUGUUGAAUAUUAUGUCUCUCACUCUCUUUGUUGUUUUUCCCACGUGUGUUUUCAUCUAUUUACCACAAGUUACCUUUAUAUAGUAAAUUGGACAUCAACACUAAUAGAGGAUUAAUUUUAUCAUAUUUUCAAGACAUACUAAGAAUUUUAUUUCGACUUUUUAAGUUGAACUUUAUAGUAUAUUCAAGAAUCAAUAAAUAAUUAAAUGACUUUCAAAAGAUUAAUAUUAAAUAUAUUCAAUAAAUCACUUAUCAAAGUUGAAUAGUUAUGUGCUCAUCUUCAAUUGAUCACAUAUUAAGGUUCAAGAAUCAACCUUUCUCAUCAAUUAAUAAGAAUUCUCAUGAUCCAUCAUUGUUGUUUUUCAAUUUUACUCCGAAAUCCUUCGGAUUUUUUGUUGUUGUGUAAUUCAUAUGUACUCUUCAGACAAUGAAGCUAUCAAUAUGAAGUAGUUAAGGUUAGCGCAUUUCAUAGGUUAAGCGUAAAACAACUUUAUGUGAAGCUGCAAAAUCGAUCCUUAAACAAUCAUACCUAUUACCAUUACUAAGUAGAAGGGCCCAAUAUCAUACUCGUAUAAUCAAGUGAAUGAGUACUAGUAAUUAACUAUUUAGAAGUGUGGGAUAUUAUUAUGUGUAAGAUUUUCGUAAGCUAAAUAUUAAAUAUUGAUUAGCGUGGAUGAUAAUUAGCUCAAUAAGGUUUUAUAAGCAAGGUGUGGGCGUAAACUCCUAAUUGAAGCACAAUAUUAAUCUAGCUAGUGAGUAUAAGAUUUCAUCUGUUAUUGUUUUAUUUAUGAAUUUUAAAAGACGAUAAACCCCAAAUUCUUAAAUAACUUUUAAUGAUUUCUGGUAUUAUAAUUCAAUUCCAAUGUCCCUUUAAGCUUCUUGUGACCUCUGGAUCAUAAUUAUUAUAAUUCAUUAACAUCAAGAAAUACAAUACAUAAACAUCUUCGCUUCAUCCCUUUUUGGGUUGUUGUUAGGAGAAAGCACUAGAACAUAGGGUAUUGAGUUCUUCCAAUAAAUAAUGUCUUCAACAAUGAACACAAGGGAUACAUAUCACAUAGCUAUGAUAUUUUUUUGUUUGUUUUUCUAAACCUUCGAAUAUUAAAACUCUUGAUAUUUCUAAAGAAACCUCUUUAGUGAUCACAAAUAUUUCUUAAUAAGAAUAUGUCAUGUUAAUUAAAAAGUUGAAUAUUUUUUAUUUUUAUUUUAAUAUCAUAUAUCAUAGUUAUAAAAACCGUACUGUACCGGCCGGUUAAACCGGAAAACUGGUGAACCAGGUUCCUAACCGGUACGGUACAAGUGUUGAACCGAUCAAGUAUCAAAACCGGUCAAAACUGGUGAACGGCCGGUAUUUUACUAAACCAGCCGGUUUAUACACAUAUAUAUUUAUUUUUUAAAAAACUUAAAAAUCCAUUACAAGGUGACUCAUUUUUCCAACUCAUCUUCAACACUUCAAUGACACAUUUUGGUUCCAAUGGAUACUUAGAUUACACAUUUUGGUUCCUAACAUUCAGUGACAUUUGUGUAAUCUUGGAGUACUGUCUAAAGAUAGGAUUUGGUAGAAAAAUAUAAUAUUCAUAUAAGACAACUUUGACUCGUUGGUGUUAAAUGUUAAAACUCCAAAUUUAUUUGUUUUACAGAGUGAGUUGUGAACUUAUAUCAUUUAUUUAUAUUUUGCGGUUGUUAAGUGAUAUUUUUAGAUUAAUAUAUGUUUUUUAAUUUAGACUUUAAAUUUGUUAAAGACUUAAAGUUGUUUAUUUAUAUGAAUUUUGAGUAGAUUAUAAAUAUGGAUUAUAAAUUUGAGUAUCUACCUAUUUGAAUUUUUUUUGUAAUACGUUUAUAUAUAUAAAUAUAAGUAGGUAUGUCCGGUUUAACCGGCAUGCGAUUUAAUUACUGAACCACUGUACCACUAUACCAGUAUCCUGAACGGUUUCAUAACCGGUACGGUUUUAACAACAAUUUAUUAUAUAGUUUGAGAUAUUAUCACGAGCAAAUAUAGAACAAGAAUUGCAGUGAGCAUAUAAUAUGCAAACACGUACGUGUCUAACGAGAAUGUUCAGAGACAUGUACACCAAAUAGCUAAUUAACUACAGUAUCAUACUCCCUUUUUAGCUCAAUUUUUUUUGUUGGCUUCCAUAGAAUAAUCUCUCCAUAAACACAAAAUUAAUUCUUAAAUCUAUAAUUUAAAAAGUUAAAAUUUAAUUAAAUAACUUACGAUAAUGUUUUUUUAGUGCUCUUAAUGCAUUAAUUGAAAAAUUGGUAAAUAAUUUAAAUUAAUGUUGUUUAAUCUUAAAUCAUCCCUUGUAUUAUAUAUAUAAAGAGUAAAUUACACUGACACACCAUGAGUUUUAACUUACACAAACCACCCCUCACUUUUCUAAACUUAUACACACCUCCCAUAGUUUUGUACUUUCAUUACACUGACCACCCCUGUAUAAGAAAUAAGUGUAAUCUUUUAAACAAAAAAUGUGAUAAAUGCAAUUAAGUUAAACAAAACAUGAUAUAUUGUGUAGACAAGUCUAAUAAUAUACAAAUAAAUAUAUCUUUAUUAUUUUUUUGUUACAAAAUGCAUCAACAAUUCUAAAGAAAUAUUAUUUAAAUCCCUUUUUUUUAAAUUAGUCAGUGUAAUAAAAGUAUAAAAUUAGGGGAGGUUUGUGUAAGUUUAGAAAAGUGAAUGGUGGUUUGUGUAAUUUCACUAAAACUCAAGAGGUGCCAGUGUAAUUUCAUUCUUUCUAUUUUUUCACUUACCUCUUCAAGAUUAAUUGAUAUUCAUGCAAAUGAAGAGAAGUAUUUAUUGUAUAAUGACAUUUACUUUUUAAAGGUUGAUAAUUUACUUCUUUUAAAAAGUAAAAGGAAUAGAAAUAUAAAUAAUUUGGGAGAUAAAGAGCUAUCCAUUUUUUAUGUACAUUGGUGUAAUAUGAGCAAAAUAUAGUAUAAUAUAUACCCAUUAUCAAUAUAAAGAUUUAUAAACAGUUGAUACAUCAUUCAUCAUUCGUUUGUAUCAGUUUUACUUAAAAUUUAAUAAUAGUUAAAUAUGAAUGAUAAAUAAUAUAAUAAUAUUGUAAAAAACUUAUUAUUGGUAUAAAUAUUUAUUCAUAGAGAGUACAUUAUUCAUUUAUAUUAAUUUUUUUGAAGUGUAAAUGAUGAUUAAAUAUGAAUGAUGUAGUAAUAUUGUAUAAAACUUUUAUAUUGUCAAUAUACAUUUUUUCUCUUAAAAAUAUAUUAAAAUACAAAUAAAUUUUGAUGUAAUAUGAUUUAAUACUUUGAAAAAGGUUGUGAUAUAAUAUAAUUUGUUCAAGUCCAUAUCACAUAUCAAUAUUUUUUUGUUUUAUCUCUUCAACUUUUCUUUGUUGAAUUUCUUCAUACUCAACUUUUUUUUGUUGAAUUUGUGCAACUUUUUUGUUUAACCAUAAAUUGUACUUUUAUGAUUUUUUUCUUUAUCCAUGUGUGUGAGUUGUUAACCCGUUUUAAAAUAAACAGGGUAUGGAAAUUUGUCCAAGAAUCACAAACAAGUAUGUCCACGACCGCUCUGGAUUUUCAAAGGUUUUACGGGUGAGGGCCAAACAGACUGCCAAUUUUUCUAUCACUAUAUAGUAUGUACCAUUAUAUGUGUUGCACUCCAAUCCAAUUUUUUUGCUACGCAAUCUCUUUAGGAGUUAUCAACAUGUUUUUUAGUGUUAAAACGUGAAAAACUUUACUUUAAGUCCAAAUUGGAUUAAAAUGGUACUUGUGUUAGAGAUUUCGAAUUCAAAAAUUAUAAAAUAUUAGCAUCACAUUCACAUGAAAUAAAACCAGAAGUCAAUUGCAUGAAUUAAAUGUCCUAUAUUUCUUAAAAUUAGAUUGUUUAAAACAAGAUAUUUAUUUUUUAUUUUUGUGUUUGACAAUAACUGAUCUUGCUCCUACGUAUCCUAUAUGUGUUAGAAAAUCAAGACUAUAUAGUUCUGGCUUCUUUAAUAGGUAAUGUUGAUUUAUAAAAAAUGACUAGAAUUGAAUUGAAUUUAUAUUAAGAAGGAUGAAGUAUUAGAAUCUAUAUCACAUCUCAUCUUCAAGAGAUUAAAAAAUAUUUAAAAAAAUGUGUCCUUUUCAAUAGGGGUGUAGUCGUUCUAGUUUAAAUCGCGAAACCAACCAAACAAUAAAAUGUAGUACAGUUCGGUUUUGCAGUUCGGUUCUGUAAUUUUUUAAGGAACCAUUUGCAUUCGGUUUAUGAUUUUCAAAUUUAGGAACCGAUAGAAUCAAACUGAACCAUAUAUUAAAGAAAUAGAUACUAGGAAAUGAUUUUUUAUUGUUGUUUAAAUUCUUUAACCGAUUUUGUGGCUUAAAUUAUCAAUUUCGGGUGAAUUGUAGUGUUAUAUGCAAUGUUAUUAAAACCGGCUUGGACCAGCCGGUUGAACCGGGAACUAGAUACUAAACCAGUUCGAGCCACAUGUAGGAUCGGUUCUGCAACGGAAUUGGCACAGAUCAAUGAGACUCGGUCGGGUUUUCAAAAAACCAAUAACUAAUUUGGUUGUUGGUUGAACCGGUGAGUCAACGUUUCUUUUAAAUUUAAAAAAAAAAAAACACAGUUGUUUUGUUAUUCCCUUUCUUAUUUAAGCAACACCACAAUGGCAGACUGAAAUUCUUAAAAACGAAAAUCUUACAUUCACUAAAACAUCGUCGUCACUAUUCUAGUUGAAACACCAUUCCAAACCUGUCGCCUCAACCUGCCAAUUGCUUGUCGACGUUGUGUGCACUUUUCGUCUUCGUGUGCCAUCGUCGCCUCUAUUAAUGUAAAAAUAUGAUUUUCGCUUUCCUUUAUGUAUGUGACCAUGCAUAUCCAUUUGUUUAUUAUUGUUUCAACCUAUGAAGCACGGGUACUGAUACGUGUUUCGGGCAGGUAUGAUACAUAUCCGAUACGUCGACACGUAUUUUUUAAAAAUACAUGAUACGAUACGUUUAUGAAUACGUGUAUAAAAUAAUAAAAACACAUAAAGCAUGAUAAAAUUAUAAGUGUAAAUUAAAAUAUCCAAAGUAAAAAAUAUGGAAAUUUAAAAUUAUUGCCCUCCAUAACAAAUCUAUCUUAUUCUAUUUUAAUGAAAACGAAUCUACCCUAAAAUCACUGUCCUCCAUAACAAAUAUAUUUUAUCCUAUUUUAAUGAAAACGAAUCUAUGUUAUCAUGUUUUAUUGGAAACGAAUCUAUCUUAUCCUGUUUUAUUAGAAACGAAUCUAUAUAUCCUAUACUUUACUGAAAAUGAAUCCAUAUAUCCUAUAUUUUAUUGAAAACGAAUCGAAUACGUAUCUUAAUAUUUAUUUAUUUUAUUUUUUUAAUUUUUGGAUACUCUAUGGAUACGUAUCUUUCACGAAUCUGAGCGUAUUCGUGUCGGAUAUAUGUCGGACACCGACACGUGAAGGUAUUUGACGAAUCUGUGCUUCAUAUGUUUCAACCACUGGGGUACCUAUAGUUAGGUGGCAGUGCAAAAACAUUUCAUGGAUUGCAUAAGUGACACCUACCCCUAUCUUUUUAUAAUCCUUAUUUCCUUUAUCUAAAGACCAGUGAAUGAAAGUGAAUUAAUGAUAUAUUAUAUAUUUGAUAACUAAAAAUGAGAUAUUUGAUAUUAGACAUAUCAUACUAUACAUGUAAAAUUUGUUAACUAGAUAAGGGGAAAUUUGAUGACAUUUGAUAUUGGAUGCGUCAUAUAUACAUGGAAAAUUUGAUAUUGGUGCAUUAUUCAUGGAAAAUUUGAUAUCGCGUAAAUGAAAAUUUUGACACUAUUCACUGGAUAUAUGGAUAAUGAAUAGUUUUAUAAUGAAAUAGUGAAUAAUGAUACACUGGGUACAUGGAUGAUGCCUCUAACAAUUUUAUAUUGAGAAUGGAAAUUUUGAUAUUGGGUGCAUGGAAAUUUUGAUACUAUUUUGGCAUAAAUAAUCUUGUGAUGUAUUUUUUUUACAACAAAAUGUUAGCUAUUAUAUUAUUAUAAUUUUAUUAAUGAAAAUCGAGUUAGUUGGUUCUACCAAUGACUCACCGAUCUCACCAGUAAUUUAUUGACUUAGUAGCUUCACGAGUUGAUGACUGAUCUAAGUUUAAUAACACUGGUUAUAUGUUACUAAAUCGUUAUUAUGUUAGGAUUAUAUAUAUUAUUAAUUACUAAAUUAUUUGUCAAUGUCUUGAUGAUUUGGAACAUAUCUUCCAACUUUUAUGGUAUUGAGUAUGAAACUAACAUACAUCAUAUAUUAUUAUAUAUCUAUUGUUAUAUUUGAUAUUAGUUGUGAAUUUUAAAUUUAAAGUUAUAUAUAUAUAUAUAUAUAUAUAACUAUUAUAUAUUUUACUAAUUUGUAUAUAUGUUAUUAAUCAUAAAUUAUAUUGUUAUAAAUGUUACAGAUAUAUGUUACUAAUUGGAGAUUGUAUUAUUAUAUAUGUAAUAAUUAAAAAAUUUCCCUCAUAAAUUACAUAAUUGUUAUAUAUGUUAUUAACAAAUAAGUAUGAGUUUCAAUUUUUUACCUAUCUAUAUAUGAUUCAUAAUUUUUUGAUAAUAAUAGUAGUGUUUUUCCUUUUAUGGACAAACAAUAUUUCUUGUAAUUAAUUUUGAACUUUCAAUUGAUGCAAAAAAAAUUGCAAAAAUCAUGGAACUGAAACGAACCAUUCAAUAGCGGUUCGGUUUGGAUCGGUUCCUAUAAAUAAAUUUGUGAUUAAUUGAGCAAAACCAAACUAUAUAUUUGUGUUCGGUUAUGUCUUUGAAAUGCACCAAAAAAUGAACUUUUACACCCUACUUUUCAAAGAAGGGUGAAACAAUAAAAAGUUUGAAAAUGAUUGUAAUGAUUUUUGGGUUUAUUGUUAUAGUGGAUUAUUAAUUAAAUUAAGAGAAAUAUUUUUUAUUGUUAAUUCAAAAUUUAGUUGAAGGAAUAGAAAUGACACAACACAACUAUUUGAAAAUGAUAGGAGAAAGAGAAAUGACACCACAAUCCACUUUUAUCGUUGAUUAUUUCUCAAAAUUAUACAUUUUUAAUAAAAAUUGAUAAUCAACUUAGCAUAUCAAAUUUUCUAGAAGAUUAUACAAUUUUUGUUAAUGUUGAUUUUAAUCCUAGAAAGAAAUUAUUGUUAUUAUUUUAAUUUUAUUAGAAUCUUUAUUAUUGCUAUAUUAUUAUAGUAACAGGAAUAAGUAUUAGUGUAACAUUGCCAACAUGGGACCUAUUCAAACUUUCUCAAGAUAAGAGAGUGAAAGGAGAGAAGAAAAAUGUUAUGACACCUACACAAAAAGUGGAGAGAAAGUUUGAGGCAAAGAGUUAUAGCUUCAAAAGAUAAAACUAUCCAUCAAUUUUUAUGUUUUAAGCUACCUUUUCUUUAUAGAUAUUUUUGUCAUUCACAAAUUAUAUAUAUAUAGCUUUCCCAUUCCUUUCUUUUAUCUUUCUAUCAAAUCAAAUAAUACAAAAAUUUACUAUAUUUUCUCCUCUAUCUUUUUCACCUCUCUCUUCUCCCAUUUUUCACUCAUUAACUAAACAAAGCAUUAAAGACAUGGCCAUCUAUAAAAAACGAAAUGGACAACAUACCUAAAUGUGUUCACGUGAUGGAGUGGAAUUCCCUAUGAGAAGAAGAAAAGUCCAGAACACGUGAAUGUGUUCACGUGAUGGAGUGGAAUUCCCUAUGAAAAGAAGAAAACUCCAGCACAUAAAUUCCACAAUUAGGUAUGGUAAUUGGAUUGGAUUAUACACAAGGAAGGUAGGACAAAAUUAUGGGUGGGUCCACACGGGUAAUAGAAAUUAAUGUGGGUAAUAUAAAUGAGAUUACAUCUUCUUCCUUACUUCAUAUAUCAUCAAUCAUAAGAGUUGUAUACAAUUUUUAAAUUAAAUUUAUUUUUUUAACACUCAUAAAAGUGAUACAUAAAGUAACAUAUUUUUUGAGAUAUAAAAUCUAAUUUCAAAAGAAAUGAAGUGUUCACUUGUUCUUAGGAGUAUAAAAUUUUGGUUCGGUUCGGUUUUUGGUGCAUCUUAGUGACUGAACUAAUUAAAAACAUAUGAUUCAGUUUCGCUCAAUUAAUCACAAAUUUAACUUUAAGAAUGAACUGAACCGAACCAUUCAAGAGUGAUUCGGUUCAGUUCGGUUCCACAGUUUUCCGUUUACUUUUUUAUAAAAAAGUCUUACAUGAAUUGAAAAUUCAAAAUGUGUUACAAGAUAUAUUGUUUAUCUAUAAAAUGAUAAACAUUACUACUACUAUUAUAAAAAUUAUGAAUCAUAUAUAACAAUAAAAUUCAUGAUUAAUAAUAUAUAUAUAAAUUAGUAAAAUAUAUAAUAGUUACAUUUAUAACCUACAUUUUAUAAUUAGCAAGAUAUGUAACAAUACAUGUAUAGCAAUAUAUGAUAUAUGUUAGUUUCAAACUCAAUAUCACAAAAGUUGUAAAUAUGUUCUAAAUCAUAACACAUUAGGAAAUAAUUUAGUAACUAAUAACAUAUAUAAUAUUAACUUAAUAACAAUUUAGUAACAUAUAUAACACAACAAUGCCCAUAAAAAUUGCUAAUUUAAGUUAGAAAAUUGGUUCAAGAAUUUAAACAAUUAUAAACAUUAUUGUCUAAUCCCUUGUAUAUAUAUUUCUUUAAUAUGUGGUUCAGUUCGGUUCCAACGGUUCCUAAAUUUCUAAAACCAUAAAUCGAACCGAAUAUAAAUGAUUCCUUAAAAAAAUAACUGAACCGAACCAUAUUUUGCAGUUUAGUUUGGUUCGAUUCUAUCAGUUUCGCAGUUUAAACUGGAACCACUUACACCCCUACCUGUUCCACAUUGGAAUUAGUGACGGACACUCUUGAAAAUUUUCUCUUUUGAUAAUGAGUCUGUGUGACUAAGCCGUAAGAAUGUGGUUUUUAGAGAUUUUUUUGGGAUCCUUUUAUAGGGGGUAUCAACAUAAAUUUUAAAAUUUUAAAAUGCAACUCUAUAUUAUGAGAUUACUUCUUAAUUCACAAAAUCAUAUGUCACUAAUAGUAGAAUUCGAAUUACAAAUUCAAAUAUCUAGAGUUAGUAAUUUUGGGUCUAAAUAAUACAUUUUUACUAUAAAAGUAGUUCAAUAAUUUUCAUAAAACUAAAAAAAAGUAAGCACAACAUUAUCAUUUGGCCUGUUAAAAUAGUAGCAACUGGAAACCUCUUUUUGGAUAGAAUAUUAUGUAAUUAUUAUAUAAAAUCCCAAAAUUAUUGCAAUACCUAAGAAUAAGUAAAAAAUCAAUCAUUUGACUUUUAUAAAAUCACAAAUGAGAUAUUUUGAGUACAUUUUUAUUUUAUAAUUAAAUAGAAAACGAAAAUUACAAGGAUUUUGUAAAAUGAUUUAUUUUAGAAAUUGGAAUCCUCCUAAUAUUAGGAUAAUAAGUGACUAUUAAGUCACAUAAAAUCCUUUUAAAAAUAAAAACGAAAAUGAGAUAAUAUUUGACCAUUAAUUUUUCAUUAAACCAUUAUAGCAUCUCUUUUAUUUUUUAUUGUAUGAGAAAACUAAAGUUGAGGAAUAAAAUAUUUUGAAAUUGAAUUUGUCCCACUAACUAGUCAAUUAAGUGUUUAAUUAAAUCCUAUUUAUUAUUUUUAUUUUUUAAGCUAUAUUUCAAUUUAAAGUUUGUAAUUUUUUGAAAUUUAUUUUGGGGAAAUUUUGGGUAAGACAAAAUUGGUAUUCAUUAUAUGUGAUUCGUCAAGAAAAUUAAAGUUAUAAAUUAUGUAAUCUAAAUAGCAACCCAAUUCUUUGGAUACCAAAUUUUAUUCCCUAAUAACAAAGUUGUUCUACAUGGCCCCUUUAUGAAUUCAAGGGUAGGUGUGAUGAUGUGGAUCUUUUUCACCUUAGAGUACUUAAAUAGCCAUUAUCAUAAUAGAAUAUUGUAGUGAGUUUUAAUUUUGAAGUAUGAUUCAUUUCUUCUAUUUCUUUUUCUUCCUUCUAGUUUCUCUUCCUACUUUGAAGUUCUUGUUUCAAACAAGAAGAUCUAAAAGCUUUCCUCCAGGUCCAACUUAUCUUCCUGUGAUCGGAAACCUCCACCAACUCAUACAACCAUUACACUGCACCUUCUAUGGCUUAUCACAAAAGUAUGGCCAAAUAUUUUCCCUUGUAUUUGGAUCACAUUUAGUGGUUGUUGUCUCAUCACUAUCUAUAGUGCAAGAAUGUUUCACCAAAAAUGAUAUUAUUUUGUCACAACGACCAAAACUUCUUAUAGGAAAAUACAUUGGCUAUAACUAUACUGCUGUUGGGUUUUCCCCUUAUGGUGACCAUUGGCGUAACCUUCGUCGUAUAAUAUCACUUGAGGUUCUCUCAUCACAUCGUCUCAACUCCUCUUUGGAAAUUCGAAGAGAUGAAAUUAUGAGACUAAUGCAAAAGUUAGCCAAAGACUCAUGCAAGGACUUUGCUAAAGUGGAACUA
rnacentral:lncRNA from 1 species